UAGGGAAUAUUGGACAAUGGGGGCAACCCUGAUCCAGCCAUGCCGCGUGAGUGAAGAAGGCCCUCGGGUUGUAAAGCUCUUUUGUCCGGAAAGAAAAGCUUCGGGUUAAUACCCCGGGGUUCUGACGGUACCGGAAGAAUAAGCACCGGCUAACUUCGUGCCAGCAGCCGCGGUAAUACGAAGGGUGCAAGCGUUACUCGGAAUUACUGGGCGUAAAGCGUGCGUAGGUGGUUGUUUAAGUCUGAUGUGAAAGCCCUGGGCUCAACCUGGGAAUGGCAUUGGAAACUGGGCAGCUAGAGUGCGGUAGAGGGGAGUGGAAUUCCCGGUGUAGCAGUGAAAUGCGUAGAGAUCGGGAGGAACAUCUGUGGCGAAGGCGACUGCCUGGACCAGCACUGACACUGAGGCACGAAAGCGUGGGGAGCAAACA
rnacentral:rRNA from 1 species